AAGUAAAAGUCGUAACAAGGUCUCCGUUGGUGAACCAGCGGAGGGAUCAUUACCGAGUACUACACUCACUACCCUUUGUGAACCAUUAUACCUGUUGCUUCGGCGGCGUCCCUCGCGGGCGCCCGCCGGUCUCAUCAGAAUCUCUGUUUUCGAACCCGACGAUACUUCUGAGUGUUCUUAGCGAACUGUCAAAACUUUUAACAACGGAUCUCUUGGCUCCAGCAUCGAUGAAGAACGCAGCGAAACGCGAUAUGUAAUGUGAAUUGCAGAAUUCAGUGAAUCAUCGAAUCUUUGAACGCACAUGGCGCCUUCCAGUAUCCUGGGAGGCAUGCCUGUCCGAGCGUCGUUUCAACCCUCGAGCCCUCGUGGCCCGGCGUUGGGGAUCUGCCACGGCAGGCCCCGAAAUACAGUGGCGGACCCGUUAGGCCCUUCCUUUGCGUAGUAGCAUUAGCCUCGCAUCGGGAGCCGGCGGGCUCUCCUGCCUCUAAACCCCCCAACAAGCCCGCUCCGGCGGCACCAAGGUUGACCUCGGAUCAGGUAGGAAUACCCGCUGAACUUAAGCAUA
rnacentral:rRNA from 1 species